rnacentral:tRNA from 1 species
GGGCGAUUAGCUCAGUUGGUAGAGCAUCUCCUUUACACGGAGGGGAUCAUCAGUUCGAAUCCAGUAUCGCCCACCA